rnacentral:tRNA from 1 species
GCUCAGUUGGUAGUAGCGCAUGACUGUUAAUCAUGAUGUCGUAGGUUCGAGUCCUACUGGCGGAG